rnacentral:rRNA from 1 species
ACGCGUUGGGAGCUCUCCCAUAUGGUCGACCUGCAGGCGGCCGCGAAUUCACUAGUGAUUCGUAUUACCGCGGCUGCUGGCACGGAGUUAGCCGGAGCUUAUUCUCCCGGUACUGUCAUUAUCAUCCCGGGUAAAAGAGCUUUACAACCCUAAGGCCUUCAUCACUCACGCGGCAUUGCUGGAUCAGGCUUUCGCCCAUUGUCCAAUAUUCCCCACUGCUGCCUCCCGUAGGAGUCUGGGCCGUGUCUCAGUCCCAGUGUGGCUGAUCAUCCUCUCAGACCAGCUAAGGAUCGUCGCCUUGGUGCGCCUUUACCACACCAACUAGCUAAUCCUACGCGGGCUCAUCCCUCGGCGAUAAAUCUUUGGACUUACGUCGUCAUCCGGUAUUAGCAGUCAUUCCUAACUGUUAUUCCGAACCAAGGGGCAGAUUCCCACGCGUUACGCACCCGUGCGCCACUAAGGCCGAAGCCUUCGUUCGACUUGCAUGUGUUAGGCAUGCCGCCAGCGUUCGUUCUGAGCCAUGAUCAAACUCUAAUCGAAUUCCCGCGGCCGCCAUGGCGGCCGGGAGCAUGCGACGUCGGGCCC